UACGGAGGGGGCAAGCGUUAUUCGGAUUCAUUGGGCGUAAAGGGCGCGUAGGCGGCCUGGCAAGUCAGAGGUGAAAGCCCUCGGCUCAACCGAGGAACUGCCUCUGAAACUGCCUAGCUCGAGGCCGGGAGAGGGUGGCGGAAUUCCUGGUGUAGCGGUGAAAUGCGUAGAUAUCAGGAGGAACACCCGUGGCGAAGGCGGCCACCUGGACCGGUUCUGACGCUGAGGCGCGAAAGCGUGGGGAGCAAACAGG
rnacentral:rRNA from 1 species